rnacentral:lncRNA from 1 species
CUUUCCUUCUCCUGGUCCUCUGGGAGGGUAGUAAGGAUGAAACUAAAUAGCUAAAGAGAAAAAGACAAGUGAUGCAUGGCUGGAACCAGGGGCAAACGGGACAGUUAGCUCCAGAAGAAUCAAAAGGUGUCUUCUCAUCUUGCAUUCACAUGCCUUAUGCCACAAACCACCAUCUGAGCCCAAUCACUGGCUGAAGACCUCAGAUUUAAAACCAAAAUAAUAAAUUUCUGACAAAGGCAAAACCGUCAUCCAAAAUGGCAGGUUACAACCAAAACUUCUGAGCCCCAGUCAAUGAUACCUUUAUUUUAGGCAGAACAGGAUAAUGCAAUUUCGCUUUGAAUUUUUGGAAGAAAGAAUGUGUGUAAAUCUUAGAAGCUCACUGUAACAGGCUUUGCAGGCUUUGACCUCUUGGAUGUGAAAUAUCCUGAUCAGCUCACACUUCAAAAUUUUUGCUGAAGCUCAGACAAUCACUGCUCCAAAGUGACCAAUCCCUGCUUUUUCUGUUAUAAACUUGCUAUAAUCCCUAAGAGAGAUAGUACAAAAAGUACAUGGAUAUUGCCAUAUCUUUAUACAUAAAUACUUCCCAAUUUUAUAAAUUCAAACAUAGGUCUACAGCUAAAAGUAAAUGAAGAAAGAGAAUUAGUGAUUAAAGUGAAUCUGUGAAACAGCUUCUUUGUUUGGCUCUAGUAGGCCAUAAGGCCAAAGUGUUUUGGGUAACUAGAAUAACCUUAUAAUUUAUCAUCCAAAUGAAAUACUCUUGAGAGUGAAAGCAGGCAUCAUUAACAAUUAUGCUGAGAGAGCAGACAUAAACCUGGACAGUGCCAGACAAAUGGGAAUAGACGGACGGUCACCCUAUGAACGAACAUCAUGCCCUCUCUAACAGAGAACGGCCUCUUCAGUCUGCCCCAGAUUCUAGAGUCUAGAGGAGAGAUCAGAUACUGCAAUAUUACACAGUAGAAAAUGCUAACUAUUACAAAAAGAGAAUCACUUAUGAUUGUUGUUUAAUAUUCCCCGGGUAAGCUCAAGUAAGCUUGAAUUCUAAAAGCUUUUUAAAAACAAAUCUGGAAACGCUGUACAAAGCAGUGUAUAGUGAGGACAAGUCUCAAAUCAGUAAGUGUGAGUAUAAUAGGUCAAAAGAAGUUGUUAGACAGCGUUUGUGGGGGGGUGUGCACAUGAGUGUGGGCACGCAUGCACACACUUGAGGGUAAGUGGAGAGGCACAUGAGUGUGGGCACGCAUAUGAGGGUAAGUGGAGAGGCACACGGGUGUGGGCACGCAUGCACACACAUGAGGGUAAGUGGAGAGGCACAUGAGUGUGGGCACACAUGCACACACAUGAGGGUAAGUGGAGAGGCACAUGAGUGUGGGCACACAUGCACACACUUGAGGGUAAGUGGAGAGGCACAUGAGUGUGGGCACACAUAUAUGAGAGUAAGUGGAGAGGCAAAUGAGUGCGGGCACACAUGCACACACAUGA